CCUAGGACCAUUCACUCCAAUGUGGUAUGAGAACAUUUAUUUUCUAAUUGUUCUUGGUUUGAUGUCAAGGCGUACUCAUUCUUGAAAUCUAUGUGGCUUUUUCAGAAACACUAUGUUCCAAGAAGUUUAUUCAAGAGAGCUGGGCAUAUAGGUCCGUCAUGACUGGCAAUGCCCUACAGGACGGCUUGGUUGAUGCAAUCCGUGUAUCCCUCACGGAUCCACUUGGAACUCAUGCUGCAGACCAUCAAUUAGGUGUGGAUAACCAUACUCAAGUCUGGUAGUGCGAUGGCUCCUGUAGAACUAAUCUCUGCACAAUUUGUUUCAAUGAGCACCCAGGUAAUUCAGAUGCUCCAUUUGAUUCUUGGACACUCUCCCUGCUGCUCAUUUCACAAC